rnacentral:rRNA from 1 species
UACGUAGGUGGCAAGCGUUGUCCGGAUUUACUGGGUGUAAAGGGCGUGCAGCCGGGCUGACAAGUCAGAUGUGAAAUCCCGCGGCUUAACCGCGGAACUGCAUUUGAAACUGUUGGUCUUGAGUAUCGGAGAGGCAGGCGGAAUUCCUAGUGUAGCGGUGAAAUGCGUAGAGAUUAGGAAGAACACCAGUGGCGAAGGCGAUUCUCUGGACUGUAACUGACGCUGAGGCUCGAAAGCGUGGGGAGCAAACAGG